rnacentral:rRNA from 1 species
CCUACGGGUGGCAGCAGUGAGGAAUAUUGGUCAAUGGACGAGAGUCUGAACCAGCCAAGUAGCGUGAAGGAUGACUGCCCUAUGGGUUGUAAACUUCUUUUAUAAAGGAAUAAAACGCGGCACGUGUGCCUUUUUGCAUGUACUUUAUGAAUAAGGAUCGGCUAACUCCGUGCCAGCAGCCGCGGUAAUACGGAGGAUCCGAGCGUUAUCCGGAUUUAUUGGGUUUAAAGGGAGCGUAGAUGGGUUGUUAAGUCAGGUGUGAAAGUUUGCGGCUCAACCGUAAAAUUGCAAUUGAUACUGGCAGUCUUGAGUACAGUUGAGGUAGGCGGAAUUCGUGGUGUAGCGGUGAAAUGCUUAGAUAUCACGAAGAACCCCGAUUGCGAAGGCAGCUUACUAAACUGUGACUGACAUUGAUGCUCGAAAGUGUGGGGAUCAAACAGGAUUAGAUACCCGAGUAGUC